AAAGCUUUUGCAGUACAGGAUGGACCCGCGUCUGAUUAGCUAGUUGGUAAGGUAACGGCUUACCAAGGCGACGAUCAGUAGCCGACCUGAGAGGGUGAUCGGCCACAUUGGAACUGAGACACGGUCCAAACUCCUACGGGAGGCAGCAGUGGGGAAUAUUGCACAAUGGGCGAAAGCCUGAUGCAGCAACGCCGCGUGAGCGAUGAAGGCCUUCGGGUCGUAAAGCUCUGUCCUCAAGGAAGAUAAUGACGGUACUUGAGGAGGAAGCCCCGGCUAACUACGUGCCAGCAGCCGCGGUAAUACGUAGGGGGCUAGCGUUAUCCGGAAUUACUGGGCGUAAAGGGUGCGUAGGUGGUUUCUUAAGUCAGAGGUGAAAGGCUACGGCUCAACCGUAGUAAGCCUUUGAAACUGGGAAACUUGAGUGCAGGAGAGGAGAGUGGAAUUCCUAGUGUAGCGGUGAAAUGCGUAGAUAUUAGGAGGAACACCAGUUGCGAAGGCGGCUCUCUGGACUGUAACUGACACUGAGGCACGAAAGCGUGGGGAGCAAACAGGAUUAGAUACCCUGGUAGUCCACGCCGUAAACGAUGAGUACUAGCUGUCGGAGGUUACCCCCUUCGGUGGCGC
rnacentral:rRNA from 1 species